rnacentral:rRNA from 1 species
CCCUUAGAUGUCCUGGGCCGCACGCGCGUUACACUGAUGCAUUCAACGAGCCUAUAACCUUGGCCGAGAGGCCUGGGCAAUCUUGUUAACGUGCAUCGUGAUAGGGAUAGAUUAUUGAAAUUAUUAAUCUUGAACGAGGAAUUCCUAGUAAACGCAGAUCAUCAAUCUGCAUUGAUUACGUCCCUGCCCUUUGUACACACCGCCCGUCGCACCUACCGAUUGGAUGGUCCGGUGAAGCCUCGGGAUUGUGGUUCUUGCCGCUUUAUUGUGGCGUGACCGCGAGAACUUGUCUAAACCUUAUCAUCUAGAGGAAGGUGAAGUCGUAACA